rnacentral:rRNA from 1 species
CCUACGGGAGGCAGCAGUGAGGAAUAUUGGUCAAUGGACGAGAGUCUGAACCAGCCAAGUAGCGUGAAGGACGACUGCCCUAUGGGUUGUAAACUUCUUUUAUAUGGGAAUAAAAUGUUCCACGUGUGGGAUUAUGUAUGUACCUUAUGAAUAAGGAUCGGCUAACUCCGUGCCAGCAGCCGCGGUAAUACGGAGGAUCCGAGCGUUAUCCGGAUUUAUUGGGGUUAAAGGGAGCGUAGGUGGGUUGUUAAGUCAGUUGUGAAAGUUUGCGGCUGAACCGUAAAAUUGCAAUUGAAACUGGCAGUCUUGAGUACAGACGAGGUAGGCGGAAUUCGUGGUGUAGCGGUGAAAUGCUUAGAUAUCACGAAGAACUCCGAUAGCGAAGGCAGCUCACUGGACUGCAACUGACGCUGAGGCUCGAAAGUGUGGGUAUCAAACAGGAUUAGAUACCCUAGUAGUC